rnacentral:lncRNA from 1 species
CAUGGGAUCAUGAGGUCCAUGGCUGGUUGCAGGUUCCCUUUUUCCUUCCUCAGGUUUUGUCUCUUCCUGUGUUGUCCCCAGCAAGGGAGAGACUGUGGGGUGGAUUGGGAGAACAGAUUAGGAGUAUAGCAAAUGAACCCAGAAUGGAACAGUGGGGAGCUAACUGUGAAUGAGGAGAGUACCUGCUGCAGGACCUGGAGGUCAGGUGUGAAUGCUGUAUUGGCACAGGGAAUAAAUAUCCUGGCGUCUGGAGCCUUCACCUCUCCGUCAAGUCCUUCCUGUGAUACUGCCAUGGCACAGGAUCUGAGUUGCAGCUCUGCACCCUAAAUCACACCCUGGGCAUUGUCUGGGCUGCAGGGCUGCCAGGUUCUGUACUUGUGUCCAGCUGUGGCCCUGGAUGCUGGAGCUGGAGGGUUUUCUGUGCUCAGACUGUAGCCUGUAGCUCUUGGCCUGUGUAGAGCCCCCUCCUGUGCCCUCAGUGGCUGUCGUUUGUUAACAUCAUCAGGAAGAUGGGAAAGGUCAGGCAGAAUUUUUCUGCCCUACAAAGGGUGGAAGAGAAAGGACACAGUAUUUUCAUGAAUUUACCAUAUAUCUUUGUUUUUCUUCAACGAAAAAGUUAAUUGAGGCAAUGUCAUCUGCUCAAAGUUGAGUGGUUUAUUCACAAUAAACUGUAAGUUUCUGAUUAUAAAAA